rnacentral:rRNA from 1 species
AUUCGGCGAGGGCUCCUGCCUAAGUCCCCUGGAACGGGGCGUCAUAGAGGGUGAGAAUCCCGUAUGCGGUAGGUUGCCUUAGCCAUGUGAAUCUCCUUCGACGAGUCGAGUUGUUUGGGAAUGCAGCUCURAAUGGGAGGUAAAUUUCUUCUAAAGCUAAAUACCGGCCAGAGACCGAUAGCGCACAAGUAGAGUGAUCGAAAGAUGAAAAGCACUUUGGAAAGAGAGUUAAAAAGUACGUGAAAUUGUUGAAAGGGAAGCGCUUGCAACCAGACUUGUCCGCAGUUGCUCAGCCGGUCUCCUGACCGGCGUACUCUUMUGCGGCCAGGCCAGCAUCAGUUCGGGCGGUCGGAUAAAGGCCUCGGGAAUGUGGCUCCUCUCGGGGAGUGUUAUAGCCCGGGGUGCAAUGCGGCCAGCCUGGACUGAGGAACUCGCUUCGGCAAGGAUGCWGGCGUAAUGGUUGUWAGCGGCCCGUCUUGAAACACGGACCAAGGAGUCUAACAUCUAUGCGAGUGUUCGGGUGUCAAACCCGUACGCGUAAUGAAAGUGAACGGAGGUGGGAACCCGCAAGGGUGCACCAUCGGCCGAUCCUGAUGUCUUCGGAUGGAUUUGAGCAAGAGCAUAGCUGUUGGGACCCGAAAGAUGGUGAACUAUGCCUGAAUAGGGUGAAGCCAGAGGAAACUCURGUGGAGGCUCGCAGCGGUUCUGACGUGC